rnacentral:rRNA from 1 species
AUGAACGCUAGCGGCAGGCUUAACACAUGCAAGUCGAGGGGCAGCGGGGUGUAGCAAUACACUGCCGGCGACCGGCGCACGGGUGCGUAACGCGUAUGCAACCUACCCAUAACAGGGGCAUAACACUGAGAAAUUGGUACUAAUUCCCCAUAACAUUCGAAGAGGCAUCUCUUUGGGUUGAAAACUCCGGUGGUUAUGGAUGGGCAUGCGUUGUAUUAGCUAGUUGGUGAGGUAACGGCUCACCAAGGCGACGAUACAUAGGGGGACUGAGAGGUUAACCCCCCACAUUGGUACUGAGACACGGACCAAACUCCUACGGGAGGCAGCAGUGAGGAAUAUUGGUCAAUGGACGCAAGUCUGAACCAGCCAUGCCGCGUGCAGGAUGACGGCUCUAUGAGUUGUAAACUGCUUUUGUACGAGGGUAAACUCACCUACGUGUAGGUGACUGAAAGUAUCGUACGAAUAAGGAUCGGCUAACUCCGUGCCAGCAGCCGCGGUAAUACGGAGGAUUCAAGCGUUAUCCGGAUUUAUUGGGUUUAAAGGGUGCGUAGGCUGUUAGAUAAGUUAGAGGUGAAAUCCCGGGGCUUAACUCCGAAAUUGCCUCUAAUACUGUUUGACUAGGGAGUAGUUGCGGUAGGCGGAAUGUAUGGUGUAGCGGUGAAAUGCUUAGGGAUCAUACAGAACACCGAUUGCGAAGGCAGCUUACCAAACUAUAUCUGACGUUGAGGCACGAAAGCGUGGGGAGCAAACAGGAUUAGAUACCCUGGUAGUCCACGCUGUAAACGAUGUCGAUUUGGGGGUUGAACUAUAAGUUUGGCGCCCGUAGCUAACGUGAUAAAUCGACCGCCUGGGGAGUACGGCCGCAAGGUUAAAACUCAAAUGAAUUGACGGGGGCCCGCACAAGCGGAGGAACAUGUGGUUUAAUUCGAUGAUACGCGAGGAACCUUACCCGGGCUUGAAAGUUAGCGACGGAUCUGGAAACAGGUCUUCCCUUCGGGGCGCGAAACUAGGUGCUGCAUGGUUGUCGUCAGCUCGUGCCGUGAGGUGUCGGGUUAAGUCCCAUAACGAGCGCAACCCCUACCGUUAGUUGCCAUCAGGUCAAGCUGGGCACUCUGGCGGGACUGCCGGUGUAAGCCGAGAGGAAGGUGGGGAUGACGUCAAAUCAGCACGGCCCUUACGUCCGGGGCUACACACGUGUUACAAUGGUAGGUACAGAGGGUCGCUACCCCGUGAGGGGAUGCCAAUCUCGAAAGCCUAUCUCAGUUCGGAUUGGAGGCUGAAACCCGCCUCCAUGAAGUUGGAUUCGCUAGUAAUCGCGCAUCAGCCAUGGCGCGGUGAAUACGUUCCCGGGCCUUGUACACACCGCCCGUCACACCAUGAGAGCCGGGGGGACCCGAAGUCGGUAGUCUAACCGCAAGGAGGACGCCGCCGAAGGUAAAACUGGUGAUUGGGGUG